UACAGAGGUCUCAAGCGUUGUUCGGAUUCAUUGGGCGUAAAGGGUGUGUAGGCGGCGCGGUAAGUCGGGUGUGAAAUUUCGAGGCUUAACUUCGAAACUGCAUUCGAUACUGCCGUGCUUGAGGACUGGAGAGGAGACUGGAAUUUACGGUGUAGCGGUGAAAUGCGUAGAUAUCGUAAGGAAGACCAGUGGCGAAGGCGGGUCUCUGGACAGUUCCUGACGCUGAGGCACGAAGGCCAGGGGAGCAAACGGG
rnacentral:rRNA from 1 species